AUUAAAUCUUGCUGAGUCGUCUCUGUAACAUGAGCUGACAUCAUGAUAGGCUCAGUCCAAUGUUAAGGUUAGCGUGGUUGUUGUCGCCUAAUGCUGUAUUUUAAAGUGUGCAUUAAUGUUUAUUUUGUACAUGAGAUAUGGGUGUUGAUAAUUAUACACAAUUUGCUAAUCGUUAGUAACGUUAUAGGCUACACGGUUAUAUUUCAAGCUAGCAAAGUAACGUUAGCACGUGCGCAAGGACUCGAGUUAGGUGUAUAGCUAAGCUAAAGUUUAUUCUUCGUGAGUGACAGUGUCGGCUAACGAUACACGGCAAAAUGUAAAGCGAUGGGGUAGAGAGCUGGGGCUGGACCGAGUGGUUGAGCUCCCGUUUGUCUAUGGAAAACGUUAGCUGCUAAAAGUCGGAGUGGCUCCGGGUAGUAACGUUAGCCUAAAGUUAAUUUAUGUUGCUGCUAGAGGAAUACAGGUGUAGACUUUCCGGGCCGCGACACCGAUCUCUUCACUAAACCCUAGAGCUUUUUACGAGCAGGAGUAGUUUACUUUGAUUUAUCUCUAGCUGUUGGCAUUUUUUUCUUUUCUUUUUAAAUGUUUAAUCUUAAUUUUAUUUUCUCAAUCUAUCAUUAGCCGCAGCUGUUACCGGAGUCGCACACCCCUCAGCUGCUGAUGCCUGAAAUGUGUGAGUUUUUAUAACGCUAACUGCAUAUGAACGUUAGCGUCAUUGUCAUGUUAUGCAUUCAGUAGAUGAUAUUUUGCCAAACGUACAAAGAAGAAUUGCUCACGUAUUUGUGUGUAUGGACAAGUGUGGGUGUUGUUAGCAUUAAGUUAGCCAUCAUGGUAGCAGGCAGGGUUAGCUUAGUGAUAUCGUGCUGGCUGCCGUUGUCCAGGUUGGCGUGACUUGCGAGGAAUUUUAUGGGAGACAAAAAAAAAAACCCAGAACAAUUACAACGAUCAAAAUCCGGCGAGUAAUCCGAGGCAAAAUGUCCCUGUGUCUUUACUCAUUCACAGUGAACAUACUGUAAAUGAUGAUGUAUUCUUUUUCUUUUUCUUCAUAGUACAUCAUGUUGGUGAAGGUGAGAUUCAGAGAAACGCAGACGUUAUGUCAAAGUGGCUGAGACUGAAGAUGGCUAUGAUGACUUCAAUACAUUUCUUCAGAAAGGUUAACAAUACAACCAAGAAUAUUUGUGCAAACUGACUAAUUGCUGUAAUACUUGCUGUAUUUAUCUAGUAUUCAAAUAUCUUAUAUUAUGGAGUUGUG
rnacentral:lncRNA from 1 species